UGGGAGGAGAGCGUGAGAGUCAAGAGGCACUUAGUUCUUAACUGCAUUAGACUUAUGAAUUAUGACUUUAUAUGAUGAAAUAGCCAUAUGCAUUCAGUAGAAAUAUUACUUUGAAUUUUGAAUGUGAAUCAUUUCCCAGGAUUACAGUAUGUGGUAAAAUCCUCUCAUGAUGCUGGACAAUGGCAAAGAGCCGCAAGUCCCAGCCAACCCCAUGAUCACAAGAGGAAUCAGCUGACACUCUACAGUGCGCUGUGUUGCUGAGCUAGGAUGGUUUGGAGUUUCCUUAGGACCUGGCUUGAGUUAACCUAUUUGGUAACACCUACAUGGCACAAGAUGAAAAAAUACAAUGAGAGCUGGGCAUCAACAGUAGAUCUUGUGCAUGCUAAGCAAGUUCUCUGCCACUGAACUGCACUACAGCACUCCCUGAUGGCCUUGGAAAUGGGACUCUUGCAGGCAGUCUUGUGGUCUUUGGACAUACUGAGUUGUUAGCUCUGUAUAUUUUGGACUUGCGGCUUUCAUGAUUGUGUGAGUUGCUUGGUUAUAAUAUAUAUUACAUUCACAUA